rnacentral:rRNA from 1 species
AUUGAACGCUGGCGGCAGGCCUAACACAUGCAAGUCGAGCGGAGCGGCGGACGGGUGAGUAAUGCCUAGGAAUCUGCCUGGUAGUGGGGGAUAACGUCCGGAAACGGGCGCUAAUACCGCAUACUAUCAGAUGAGCCUAGGUCGGAUUAGCUAGUUGGUGGGGUAAAGGCCUACCAAGGCGACGAUCCGUAACUGGUCUGAGAGGAUGAGCAGUCACACUGGAACGGAGACACGGUCCCGACUCCGACGGGAGGCAGUAGUGGGAGAUAGUGGACAAUGGGCGAAAGCCUGAUCCAGCCAUGUCGCGGGUAUGAAGAAGGCCUUCGGGUUUUAAAGUACUUUCAGCGGGGAGGCGUUACCCGCAGAAGAAGCACCGGCUAACUCCGUGCCAGCAGCCGCGGUAAUAC